rnacentral:rRNA from 1 species
CAGUAGCCACGGUAAUGCGGAGGGUGCAAGCGUUAUCCGGAUUCACUGGGUUUAAAGGGUGCGUAGGCGGGCAGGUAAGUCAGUGGUGAGAUCUCCGGGCUUAACCCGGAAACUGCCGUUGAUACUAUCUGUCUUGAAUAUAGUGGAGGUGAGCGGAAUAUGUCAUGUAGCGGUGAAAUGCUUAGAUAUGACAUAGAACACCGAUUGCGAAGGCAGCUCGCUACACUAUUAUUGACGCUGAGGCACGAAAGCGUGGGGAUCAAACAGGAUUAGAUACCCCGGUAGUCCCUGUCUCUUAUAU